AUACAGGAAGAUUAGACCACAAACCGCUCUAUCAACACGAAAACAAAAUGCACGCUCAUCACCUGCGGGGUUUUGGACUCCUUCCGACAUAAAGCGCCAUGACGUGCAUAGAAUUAAUCGCAGUCUACCCAGUUUGCAAGAUUAUGCUAGGAUUCGUCCGAAGUCUCAAUGAAAAAAGGUUUACGACUGUUCUCAGUUAUGAUUUGUUGCUUUGGAUUCAUGUGAGAAAAGCUUAUAGUAAAAUUUGACUAAUACUUACAGGUAAUGUUUUAGAGAAAGUCAAGAAAUGAGAAGAAAGCAUCGAAGAAAAACAUAAAGAGCAAAAAAGAUGGCGAGGCCACGAUGGCAAACGUAAUUGACGGACGAGGUUGUGAGAAUGGAAUACGUAAAAAAUGAGGUCAGAAGCGUCAUGGACAUGAUGAUGGGCAAAAUUUAUCAGGAUGACAUAUUAUGUACUGAGCUGAUUCAACUAAUGCCCUUGAGUGAAAAUCUGGCUCAAAUGGUUUAUAGGAGAGAGAGAUUUAUUUUAGCGUCAACCAGAUAACAAUUCCGUAUAGGCUGGAGGAAUACGACCACAAGGUCAUCAAAGUCAGCUCCGAACGUUUUGGUACAUUUCGAAAAUCAUUUUGAUUAUUAUAAUUGUUAUUUGAUUAUUAUAAUGACAAGUUAAAUUCGAGAUAAAACUGUUCAUAUUCUCCGAAACCCCUACGGGUCUACAUAGUAGGCUAUCUUGCUUAUUUGGAGAUGAUAGGCAUGAGCAAAGAACUAUUUUAAACUUUGAAUUACAAGUUUUUUAUUUUGGAGAAGGAAAUAUAGUUACAUCACUGCGUGCUUGUUUAAAUAUCGUUGGUAACGUGGGUAAUUUGAAACACGUUGAAUUCUAAUAUGACCUCCAAAAUUUAAUUCUGCAUGCGCCAGAACAACAAAGACGGCCCAAAUGAGAAAAUUUGACUUGGGAAGCUAUAUGAUGAUUUGUCUAAAGUAUUAUCUUCAAUUCAUAAUUAAUUCGAAAAUUGUAGGCCUACAGCAUUGUACCGGAGCGAUUCCAUAUUUGCUUUCAAUCAAUAUUAAAUCAUAGACUAUAUAUUAUUUUCUUUUGUUAUCAUGCUUUUAUCUCGCAACAAAGGUCUUAUUAUAUUUUAGUAAAAGUUAUCAUUAUCUUCAGUACGCCGCUCGUGAUUAUAAUGCAUGAAUUGAUUUUCAAAUCAAAUGAACAUUCAAUAUACAAUAGGAAUAAUUUGACAGGGGAUAAUAUAUAUUUAAUAUUCGCUUAGCGGAGAGAAAACAUAAUUGCGGUAAUAUUACAAAGACUUCAAAAUGAAUUUUUCAACCAGUGCAUAUGGAAUAGAAUCUGAAAGUCUGGUGUUAAAGGGAUUCCGUUUGCUGUUUUGGGCUUCGGUUGUUUGCAUUCUGACGGGAUAUUUUGUGGUUACGGCUUACAUCAUGGUAAUUGGUAACAAAAAAUUAGUCGCGGUUGAAAUUAGACAUCAGCACUUGUAAGAGGCACGUGGUUGAUUGCUUUGAUAAAAAAUGAUGGUUUCAGACAUUUAAGACAGUUUGUAAGCGCCAACUCGCCAAAACACUCUCAAAAUAUGUUUGGAAAUAUUUCGCUAUGGACCUUUCCCCGAUCUCUGUCCGAGUGAGAAAAGUGUCUGAGCGGAUGAAAAAAGGGAGCCUUGUUACGUCACUUUUUGCUGAUUGGCUAAUGUCACGAAUUAACAAGGAAGUCGGUGCUCAGGGAAAGAUCCAUAGUGAAGU